rnacentral:rRNA from 1 species
UAAGCAUAUCAAUAAGCGGAGGAAAAGAAACCAACAGGGAUUGCCUCAGUAACGGCGAGUGAAGCGGCAACAGCUCAAAUUUGAAAUCUGGCCUCGGCCCGAGUUGUAAUUUGUAGAGGAUGUUUCGGGCGUGGUCCGGUCUAAGUUCCUUGGAACAGGACGUCAUAGAGGGUGAGAAUCCCGUAUGUGACCGGGUGCCUAGGCCCAUGUGAAACUCCUUCGACGAGUCGAGUUGUUUGGGAAUGCAGCUCAAAAUGGGUGGUAAAUUUCAUCUAAAGCUAAAUAUUGGCCAGAGACCGAUAGCGCACAAGUAGAGUGAUCGAAAGAUGAAAAGCACUUUGGAAAGAGAGUUAAACAGUACGUGAAAUUGUUGAAAGGGAAGCGCUUGCAACCAGACUUGCGCGUGGUUGAUCAUCCGGUGUUCUCACCGGUGCACUCUGCCACGCUCAGGCCAGCAUCGGUUUUGGUGGUUGGAUAAAGGCCUUGGGAAUGUGGCUCCUCUCGGGGAGUGUUAUAGCCCUCGGUGCAAUGCAGCCUACCGGGACCGAGGACCGCGCUUCGGCUAGGAUGCUGGCGUAAUGGUUGCAAGCGACCCGUCUUGAAACACGGACCAAGGAGUCUAACAUCUAUGCGAGUGUUUGGGUGUCAAACCCAUACGCGUAAUGAAAGUGAACGGAGGUGAGAACCCUUAAGGGUGCAUCAUCGACCGAUCCUGAUGUCUUCGGAUGGAUUUGAGUAAGAGCAUAGCUGUUGGGACCCGAAAGAUGGUGAACUAUACUUGAAUAGGGUGAAGCCAGAGGAAACUCUGGUGGAGGCUCGCAGCGGUUCUGACGUGCAAAUCGAUCGUCAAAUUUGGGUAUAGGGGCGAAAGACUAAUCGAACCAUCUAGUAGCUGGUUCCU